rnacentral:lncRNA from 1 species
UCUCCUUAUUGGUCAUCCUCAACAUCGCCUUGUCUGUUCCAACCCCACUUUCGAUCUCUUGGUGAAGUGUUUUUGCGGCGUCAAGGAGAGCUUUCACAAUCGCCCCAUGGCCUUCUCUCGCAGCAAGGUGAAGUGGAGUGUCGCCUUUCCGAUUGGGCUGCUGCAGUAGAGGUGAACAUGAAUGAAAGUGAAGGAUCCACUCAACGGAUGCCAGCUGACCGAACUGGGCUGCAAUGUGGAGGACAGUGUUCCUUUUUGGGGUUUGUUGGAGUUGAAGAUGAGCUUCUGAGUACUUUCUCUCGAGGAUUCUGAUAUCACUUUCAUACAAAGCCUCGUACAAAUCAGCAUUCAUGUGGGUGAUCUCAGUUUGGCCAUCAGCUGCAAUCUGGUUCGACAUCUUAGUUUGGCUUGAAAAGGUUUCCAAGUUAAGGUUCUGCGAUUCUGUAAUUUAGUUGGAGCUGGACUGAUUCACUAUUGGCGUUGGAGGAGCAAAGUAAUAAUCAACUCUUCAGAUUCUAAAUAUUUAUAUAAUUAGGAGUGAAUCACUACAAUUUUACUAAACCCAAAUUUAUUUUUAACUUUUUCUUAUUUUUCCUUUUUCCUUGCACUCCAUCCUAUUUAGCGAUUAUUUAAGCUGCUUUUACCACCAACAACAAUUCUGGUGGUUUAAAACAAUUUCAACCAUAUUAUCAGCCAUUUUAUGAGGUCAUCUUCCAAAAUAACACAAAAUAACAAUUCUGGUGGCAAUUUGUGCUCAUGGGUUGUGUUUGUAUUAUAUUAAAACUUACUCAACAUAAAUAAUAAUAGUGUUAAAAACAUAAAUCAAAAUAUUAUUUAUUUAUUAAAUAGAUAACACAUCAUGUAACCCAUUAAUUUCUUUAGUAAUUAAGUCUUUCUAUUUAAUAAUUAAAUUGAGUUAAGUAUUGUAUAUAUUUAUAUAAUUAAUUUUUCAAUCAAAUAUAUUUAUAACUUAAUUCAUCUGUUUAUUUAAAAACAAAUUAAUUUAAAAUAAGUUGAAGAUUAGUUAAAUAGUUUAAAGUUAUAAUUAAGUUAAUUAGUGAAAUUAUUAAAUCAAUCCAUUUGAAUCAAAUUUGUAUUAUACAUAUUGAUAUAAAAUCUAGAUAUCUAUAAAAUGUGUAAUACAGGCUAACAUAAAUUUGAUCCAAACUCAAUUAUACUCAAAUUUGUAAAAAGCAUGUUAAGUUUGAGUCGUGUUCACGUAUUGUAUCAAACUUUGUCAUUCCUACAAAAUACAAUGUUAAAGCCCAAACAAUUAAUAAUCACACAUGCUAAAGAGAGGAAAAUCUAAGGGUUAACCAUUUUCAUGAUUGCAAGAUAUUUUUUCUUGGGAAAAAAUGUGCUUCCAUACUCAUAUUUAAGAAUAUCACAAGAUGAAAAUCCAUUAAAAGUAAUUCAAGUUUUAGGCAAUCUAAAGUCAAAAUAGCAUUUAGGGUAGUCAAAGGCAUUACUAACAUUACUAAAAAUAGUAUCUAUUUGCUAAAAAAUAUGUAAAAUCUGAAUUAUUUUUAGAUAAAUGUAUUCAAUUUGAAAAUUUUAAAUUGGGGUUGUUAUUUGAUUUUUUUUCAAAUGUAUGUUUGAAAACACAAUUUAAUUUCCCUGUUUUUCUUUAUAAAGCAUAGUACCAAGGAUGACUGUUAGGCGCCACGAGAAGUUCAUGUUUUUUUUGUCUAUAGUCUAUUUAGUGAAUUUUUUCUUGUUUCUUUUUCUUUUUGUGGGGACGGAGUGUAGUAUUUUUCUAUUAUUAAAUUUUCUCUCUUUUUCUUUCCCUUUUGGUGGGGGAUGAAAUAUAAUAUUUUUCUCUCUUUUAAUUAUUCCUUUUCCUUCCCUUUUGGUGGGGGAUGAGAUAUAAUAUUUGUUCAUUAUUAAAUUUUUUUUCUUUUUCUUUUAUUGGGACAAGUGGAAUAUUUGGUUGUUAGAAUUUUCUCUUUUAAUUAUUCUUUUUCAUUCUCUUUUGGUGGGGGACGAAGCUUAAUAUUUGUACAUUAUUAAAUUAUUAUUAUUAUUUUUUUAAGGACAAAUGGAAUAUUUGUUUGUUAGAAUUUUCUCUUUUAAUUAUUCUUUUUCUUUCACUUUUGGUGGGGAUGAAGAAUAAUAUUUUUUGAAUUUUUUCUUUUUCUUUUUUUUUCUUAGGGACGAAGUGAAAUAUUUGUUUAUUAUUAAAGUUUCUCUUUUAAUUUUUCUUUUUCUUUCACCUCUUUCAAUUUUUCUUUUUCUUUUUCUUUUUGUAGGGGAUGAAGCGUAAUAUUUGUCUAUUACUAAAUUUACUCUUUUUCUUUCUCUUUUUUUGUGAACGAAAUGGAAUAUUUGUCGGUUUUUGAAUUUUCUCUGUUAAUUAUUAUUUUUUGUUUUCUUUUUGUGGGGGCUGAAAAAGAUCAAGAUAUGGAGGAUUUUGGAGGAGAGGGAGUGAAACUCCAUCAGCAGUGAGAAUGGAGGAUCGGAUUAUAGGGAUACGUGAAGGUUCUUGGUCUUAUCUUGCUGGUACCAUUGGUAGAGUUCCUGAGAAAGUGAUAGGAACAGCAACACCAAAAGAACCCCCAGACCAUCAAAUAUCCGCCUGGUGUUUUUCCAUUGGAGAUGAACUGAUUAUACAUUGGGAAUUAUCAUCAUCAAAUGCAGCACCACCGGCACCAGCAAAUGAAGUCUCUUUGCACCCCGGGCCCACUUCUGCACCCAUGCAUGGCCACCUUUGGCAUGCAAUCCCAACGGCCACAUGUCAUCCUCCCAUUUCUUCAUCUUUUGCUUUCAAAAUUUGAUUUUCAAAACUCUAGUUUUUAAAUAAUUUUAAAAAAUUCAACUUUCAAAUAAUCUUAAUCAAGUACCCUUUUAUAUUUAUUUUAUUUUAUUAUUAUUUUUAUUUAUUUAUUUAUUUCCUUAGAAAUUUCAAGUCAUUCCAAAAACCCAAUUUUAAUAAACUUUUUGCUGUCAUAUUUCUCUUCCGGUAUACAUUUUCAUAUUUUCUUCAAAUUUCAAUUUUUUUUAUUGAUUUUCCUCAAUUUUUAAUAAAGCAUGAAUAAAUUCUAUAAUUUCAAGCAAUAGAAUUUAUGGAGUUAAUUCAUGCUAAAAUAAAUCGGGUUGGUGGGGCCUGACAUCUGUAAUUGAUUGCUUGAUUGACUUUGCCCUACUCUGACAUGCAUGAGAUUAUUUAGUAUUUGUGCACUAACCUUGUAUCCUAUGAUAGCACUCAACUUGCGACUAAGAUACGCCUUGUACCCGAUCAUAUUUAUUUAUUUAUCCAUUAUCAUGCAUGACUUGUUUUAUUAUUUGAUUAUUAUUUGGUAUCCACGAUUUCCUGAUCAAUUGUCAUGUUACCCUAACUGAUUAGUAGAGACUCUUUUUUAGGGGUUUAGAGUGGUGUACGCCUUUAUCACCGUACCUUCUCGAUAUAUAACCUAACUCCAGAUCCAAACUUGGUUUUUCGCAAACUUGUAUGUCCUUUAGGAGUCACAUUUGAAUUUUUUUUUUUUUUCUUAUUUUGUUCUUCCCUUUAAAAAUAAAACAAAAAUAAGAGGUCACUCCAAUUUUUAUUUAAAAAAAAAAAAUCAAAUUUCUAAUAAAAAUUGAGUCUCGCCAGUUGAGUGGGAACGCAUGCGAGAAAGAUGGGGUCCACACAAUUAUUAAAAAAUUAUCCAAAAAAAGUUUGAUCCCUUUGUUAUUAUUAAGUUUGUUUUUUUUUUUUCAUAUUUUUUAUAAUAAAAAACUAAAAUUAUCAAACAUAUUUUUAAGAAUUUAAAAACAUAAUUGAAAACUUAUUUAUUAUUUCUACCCUUAAAAACUCUAAAAACAAAAAUAUAGCUAACAGCCAUCUAACCUAUCAUGUUCUUCUCCUUUUCUUUUCUUUUCUUUUUUCCUUUUUUUUUUCUCCAAUUUCCAUGUAGAAUGGACAAAUAAUUUUCAGAAGGAAAAUAUAGAAUAUGAUACUGUGGUAUAAAAAGCAACCUAUUUUUAGGUUUAGUAUUAAUCAAGUGAGAAAAAAAAAAAGAAGAAAUUUAAAAUUUCUUAUUUCAUUUAAUAUUACAACAAAAAAAAAGUGGCAUUUGUGUGUGUUAAAGCACUACCAAUCUUGUCAUUACACUAUAAUUAUUUUUUAUUUUCUUUCAACUUACAUCUAUAUUUAAAGAUAUUUUAUGUAACUUAUGUUUACAUUUAAGGAUAUCUCAUAUAUAAUAUUAGCGUAAGGAAAAGUUGUCUAGCUUGAUCCUGAUCCUUAUCUUAUUGGGAUCCCAAAAUUUGAUUUGAUCUCCAAUUACAAUUAUAGAACAAUAACACCAUGGUAGCUGCUGUAUUCCUUUGCUACACAGAAUAGAAGCUUCUCUACAACACUACCCAUUUUCUCUAGCUAAAUUCAUUUUAUUAAACAUUUUUAUAAAUAAAAUAACAUUUCUGACAUUCCAUAAUUUCUACGUUCUUGAGCCAAAUUUAGGAAUGAAUCAUUCUUGGACAACCUCGAUCCCGUGGGGUUUGGUUUUGGAAGCCAAAAGUCCUAUCUCUGUUGCCCUUUAGGGCUCUUGUAUAUUUAGUGUCUCAAAAUUUUGUCACUUUGAUAAACUACAGUAAUUUUUAUCUUAUCAACUUAUGAACUCGGACCAAUAGAGAGCUAGAGCCACUUUGCAUAUAUCAAUAAAUAAAAAAAGUUAAAUAGUCAAAUUUGUACAUCUAGUUAUUAAUUAAAAUUAAAAUAAUAAUCAUUUUUUGACUAAAAUAAUAAGAGAAUAAAACAAGUGUGAGUAAGUCAUUAAAAAAAUUAUAAUCAAUUUCUUCAACUCAAAGCAAAUUAAUAAAUAAACCCAACAACAGGGGACAAACAAAUUGGUGGUGUUCCCAAAGCCUCCAUAUUUCAAUGGUGGGAGAGUUUUUCUAGCUUUGACUUCACUUUUCAAACUUGUAACUUCUUUAUUGAUGAUAUGGAGGUACUGGUGGGAGUAAUUAAAAUUAUUUAUUUAUUUUUUUAGGGGUAAUUAUGUUUUGGAUCUAGUUGAGUCCAAAAAUUAAGUUUUAGUCCAUAUAAAUUCACCAUUUAAAUCGAAGAUCUAGAUAAAGUGUGAAAAUUGAGAAGAAUGAUAUAAAUUUUUUAUCUUUCCAAAAAUGAUCUUUAUUGACUAUGAAAAAAAAGAGAGUAAAAAAACAUUAAUUUAAAUUUUAUUCCUUUUGCAAACCUCAAUAAAAUUUAAUUUAAUUUAGUGAUUUGAAAAAAAAAAACCAUUUUCCAAAAAAAUAAAAAUAAAUUAUUAUUAUUAUUAUUUAAAAACCAAACAUCUUGGAAAAUAUAUAUUUUUCAAAUUGUGUAUAUAAAAAAUAACUAAAAAUAUGUCAAAUUUAUUUUUUUUAAAUUAUAUAUUUUUAGAAUAUAUAUAUAUAUAUAUUAAAUUAGUUUUCUAAAAAUAAUAAAUUUUCAAAAUAAUUAUUAAAAAAAAUUUAAGAUCAAAAAUUUGUCACACAUUAUGAUAGAAAAUAUUCAAAAUAGUUUUGAAGGGUAUAUUGGUCUCUUUAUAUUUUAUAUCAUUCCCCUCAAUUAUACAAUUUUUAUAGGCUAAAUUUUAAUUUUUGGGUCCAGAUCCAAAACACAAUUGUGCUGCUUUUAGCUAGGGUGGACCAAUUUAACUACUAUAUAUUUUUUAGAAAAGAGCAAGCAUCUCUUGUUUUUAACCUAUAUGUCAACGGUAUGGUCCAUUAUCUAUGUUCAAUGAAAACAUGGUAGUGGACGUGACCACCUUGCCAUGGUGGUGGUUGAAGCAGUAGAGCUGGUGGAAGCUUAAAGAAGAAGAAACCAGCUGGGGAAAAUGAGGGCAGAGAGAGGCCGUUGGCGGAAAAGAAAAAAGGAGGUUUGGAUGAGAGGUUUUCAAGGACAACUAUGUAGUAGUCUGGGGGGUGGUACCAACAUAUUUUGAGAGCAAGGAAGAAAAGAGUUGCAAAAAAGGAAAAACAAAGUUGCAAAAACAAGGGAGGAGGGUGAUUGAUUGGUUUUUUGGAGGAGAAAGGAUAGCUGGAAGCCGAUAUUCCACAAGUCCGGAGAGGAGUCUUCCAAAGAUAAUCCCAAAAGAAACAGCCCUCCAAGCCCUCAACACCAUCAUCCAGCUCCACUUCAAGAAGACCUUGGAGAAGAAAAGAGCUAUCGACCUCCAAAAGAAGGAGCAUUGGAAGCUCUUUCAGCUCUUCUUCAUCUUCCUCUCUCUCGUCUUCCUCGAUCAGACCUAGUCCCUACACUUCUAGUGUCGCCACUACUGGGUCCCAAUCACUCUCCUCUCCUUAGCCCACCUCAUCUUCUAUGUCUUUGUCGUUCAUACCCUUCCUCCGCUGCAUCAAUGGCUUCAAGUACCAGCGCCGUUGUUGUUGAGGCCUCGCGUCCCUGGUGAUCCACGUAGUUGCCAAAUGGAUGGGCGCACGAUCUCAACCAAUAUAGAUUCUUGAUUCAGUCGUUCUACCUGCAAAAGGCGUCCGGACGGGGUGUCCGGACGCACCCUCCGAUGGUUUUGUCAGCCAUGGUUAGAGAUAGAGAUAAAUCAGUUGGCCUUUUACUAGGUAUAUCCAGCUUACCUUCCCCUUUGUGUGAAGGUUUGUAUAUAUAGUUUCAGAAGCUUUGUUCCCCUCUUUAAUGGUGGGGAGAUAUUCUGUGUUGUCAUGAUGACAUUAGGUGGUGGCAGGGCCAUCAUCACCCUACAGGCGGCUGAUAGAGAUCGUGGUAGGUGAUGCGGCUGUCAGAGAUCGUGGUAGGUGAUGCGGCUGUCAGAGAUCGUGGUAGGUGAUCGUGGGAAGUGACUUGUUGUCACUUCAUCUUGUCAUUUCACUCUGCAGGUGGCGGAACGUGGGCCAUGGCAGGCUGUUGUGAUAACGUGCAAGACUUGCUUACUUCAGUCAAUGAUCUGGGCAAACGUAUCCGGAUGGCCUAUGUUAGUCGUCCGGAUGUUAUGUUUAUGAGUGUCGUGUGCCUCUCCUUGAGGUAGUCCGGAUAGGAGAAGCGCGCCACGUGCAUUCUUAGGGAAAUCCGGAUGAGGAUGAUCCGGAUGAUAAUGCGUGCCACGUGUCGCCAUGAGGUGUGUGGCAUGUGUUUUCAGGAGGAGGGGUCCCUACAAUGCCCCCCUUUUUAACUUGCCUAUUUUGCCUGAGCAAAAAAUGGGCGGGUUAAAAAUAAUUGGUUUUCGAAAUUGUGGCUACUUUUUGCGCUUAUUGGGCCACGUGUCGAGCGGGGAUGAAGAGAGAGAGAAGUAUUUAUGAUGAGCCGUCGUCUCUGUGUAUUCCCAGGCAACAUGUCGUUUCAAUGAUAGCGUAGCUGAUCGUUUGGUAUACCGAGGGGCUGUCCCCCUAUAAAUAGCAUACUAUGCCUUCUGUUGCAUUUUUCCUACUGCGUUUUUUCCUGAGAGUGUUUCUUCUUCUACCUUCUGUGUUUCUCUCUUGUUUUCUGAGUGAAGCCCUAGAGUUUCCUACCGGUGAUUUUUGCGUCUUGUCGGUGACUGUAUUGCGGAUUUCGACCCUAUUAUUCCAGAUCUACACUUGGUACGUGCAUUGUUUUUGUUUUUGUUUUUGUUUUUUUUUUUUUUUUGCGUUUUUUUGUUGGUUUGUUUCUGGUUUCUAGGGUUUUGUUGAGGGUGUUUUGACUGUUGGUACCUCUUUCAUGCAGUUUCCAUUUCAGUUUCAGGCUAGAAAAUGUCUGCAAACAAGAAAGUUGUUUCGUCUGGCCCGAUCGGUGAUGCUCCUGAGAAAUCUGUAGAUAAAAUGAGUGUAAAGGAGUUUCGGGAACGUUUCUGCAUCCCAAAUGGCGUGCUUGUGGAAUUUCUGGACGAGGAGGAGGUCGUAUCUACUGAGAAAGCUGAAGGUCGUGCCAUCACCUUCUCAAAGGAGCAAUUCAAUGCCGGGCUUCGGUUCCUUCUCCCAGUGCUGUUCAAAGAAUUCCUUCAUUUUACCCAGAUCCCACCAGCCUUCAUUCACCCCAAUACAGUCCGGGUGCUGAUGGGAUGCAACAUUCUAAACAUGCCGUUCAACCUUGAUCUCUCGCUGCUGGAGGUUCUUUUUGUUUACUCCCUGAAGAAGGGAAAAAAUGAUAUCUUUAGUAUGGCUGCCUAUCUGCCCUCGCUUCAAUUGGUGACUGAGCUGCCGGAUUCGACGAAAGGAGGGAUGAAGGGGUAUGUGGUGGUCCGGGGUGCUUGGGCGGGGCUAUUGGAGCAUCCGGAGAGGCCUUUUUCUCCAAACUACUCAUUGGUGCUUUCGGGUGAGUCAACUUUACGGGUUUUGUCCGGCACUUAUCUUGUUGUCCUUCUUGCUGGUUUUAUCAGAUGGCAUAAUUAUCUUUGAUUUGUUGAUAAUGCAGGUUCGGACAAAGAGGGGCCACGUAGUUGAGUGGGUAGAGAAAGCGUCGUUUGUUCGAUUGAACAAGUUGUUCGAGAUUACUGUCGCCGAGAGGCAGUAUGUGACGCUGCUUACCGCGCGGAACCUGAUGGCUGUUGUCCGGGAGUCUUGUGAGUAUAUCAUCAAUAUUCUCCCCAGGAAGCUGCCAAAGAAGGUAGUGCCUGGGGAGCAUUAUAUUCUGAAAGACCUCCCUUUCUACAAGGAGGUGCAACAGGCGAACGCUGAGAAAUGCCGAGCGCUCCUUGUCGAUCGGGAGAGAAGGAAGAAGGAGGGGACCUUGUGGAAGGCUCCGGCGAAAAAACGGUCUGCGUCCUCUCCUCCUGCUAGAGCUCCAACAAAGAAGAAAAAGAAGACUUCAAAUAAGGGGAAGGAAGUGAAACUCCCCACUCCUCCAAAGGAGUUCGUGAUCCCUCCUAUUACUUAUGAGAAGGAGGUAACAAUAAAGGAGCCGGAGAAUCCCCUUCCGCCCUCUAUUUCGAGUGGCCCCGGACAUGUCGAGGGUUUAAACCAUUCGGGGCCCUCUUUGUCAGCUGCCGCCCGCUUGGCUAUUUUGGCCGAAGAAGCUGCGUCAAUAAAUACACCCGGCUCUCCCCAUCCGGAUGUGGAUGCAGGCGAGGCCGUUUGUGCAGAUGCGUCACCUCUUAUGGCGACCCCAAUGGAGGAAAUGAGGGCAGAAAGCCAGAGUCUGCCUUUAGUCGGGCCAAGCCUUCCUGCCCUUCUACCAGUGAAGGGGUCAGCUUCAAGGAGGUCGAGUUCGGCGCGAAACCUAAAGUCCGGCCUCAUCGGGCGGCUUCAAGAUCGAUUCCAGGAAACCAUCGAAGUCAGCUGCUCGUCCGUCCAGGAUGACCAUCCGGAGGGGAGCGAGACGGAGAUGGCAACUGAGACCCCAGCCGUCCCGAUGGUGGUCCCGGAUGAGGGUACGGCCGGAGAGACCCAUCCGGUUGUAAAUGAGGGGGCCCCGGAUCCGGAGGAGGAGUUAUUCUCUAACGCCUCAUCAGGGGGGGAUCUUGUUGAUGAUGCGGCUUGCAUCUCUGCUAGCCCUUUUAGCUAUGCGGAGUUGGAAAAGAAGCUGAAACAGAUUCCACCCGGCUCGACCACUGCCAUGCCUUCAGCAAAGAUGUUCGAAGUGGUGGAAACGGUAUAGUGUAUUUCUUGAUUGUCUUUUGCCAUAUUGAUGUGUUUAUGGUAUGGUGUGUAACUCUGUUUUUCUUGUUUGUGUGUUUGCCUGUAGCUGGUGAGUGGUCUUCGCGGCAUGGUCCAGCAACAUGACCUAUUCACUGACCUGCUGCGGACCGCUGAUUACAUGAAGGCUUUUGCCUCUCAGCGUAAAAACAGUGAAAAUUAGCUGCGCUUGAGAUUGGAAGAAGCCGAAGCCAGUUUAUCCACUGCAUGGGGAGACAACGAGGCUUUCCGGGCGGAUCUAGCUGAGGCAAGGAGCCGGGAGGAGUCGAUGGAUGCCCGCUUGCAUGAGGCGGAGGAUGAGGUGGCUCUCCUGAGGGAGGAGGUGAGGCAACUCCGGACGGAGGUAUCCAUUGAGAAGAAACAAAAGGAAGAUUUGUAGCUGCGUUUAUCAGCGCAAAAAGAAGAGCUAGAGGGUAAGUUUGCUGCAGAGAGGGAGGAGCUUGAAGCGGACUAUCAGAGGCAAGUUGAUGAUAUGUUCUUCUUCGGCUAUCGCUGCUGUAUGAAGAAACAUGGCAUUAAGCGAGAUGUCCCUUCAAUUCCUCCGGGUGAAGAGAAGAAGCUCCUUGACAAGCCUGCUCCCUGAUAGCUUUUCUUUUUGUAAUCUUUUGCUGCUAUCUUCUUUCUGUAUUUUUGUAGUCUGGAGGACCCUUUGUACGCAACUUCAUAAAUAUCAAUAAAACAUACAUUUUGACAUUUUGUACUUGUCUUUUUAUUGAUAAUACUGUUUUAAAUUCGACACAUUCCAUGGUCUGAGUAAUGGAGUUCUGUCUAGCUUUUGUAGGUGAUAAGCUCCACUUUCACUUGACUUAGACACUAUAUAGGGUCCUUCCCAGUUGGCUUGAAAUUUCCCUGCUCCUGUUUCGGCAAUAUUUUCAAAAACUUUUCUAAGGACCAGCGUACCAUUUUUGAAGCUUCUGGGCCUUACUUUGCGAUUGUAAUGAGCGGAUGCCCUUUGCUGAUAGUCUGCCAUCCGGAUGGCUGCGCUUUCCCUUACUUCAUCUGCCCAGUCCAAGUUUCUUCCUAACUCCGCGUUUGCAUCAUCCUGCUUUGCUGCCUCAGUCCGGAUAGUGGGUAACCCUAUCUCGGUAGGAAUGACGGCGUCCAUUCCAUAUGCGAGGGCGAAUGGAGUGUUUCCUAUUGGCCGCCCGAGUAUGGUUCGAUAGGCCCACAGGACGCCGGGUAACUCUUCCACCCACUUUCCUUUGGCUUGCUCAAGCCUUUUCUUUAAGGCAGUGAUUAGCGUUUUGUUUGUGGCUUCUGCUUGCCUGUUACUUUGAGGAUAACGUGGUGUGGAGUAUGAAUUUCGGAUGUUUAGUUCUGAACAGAAAUUCCGGAAUGCGAUGCUAUCAAAUUGUGGACCGUUGUCGGCUAUAAUGUUUUGAGGGAUUCCAAAGCGGCAGAUGAUGUUUUUCCAUACGAAUUUGGUGACAUCUUUGUCUUUGAUGCUUGCAUAUGCUUCAGCUUCCACCCACUUACUGAAGUAAUCCGUGGUGACAAGUAGGAAUUUUUUCUGGGCAGGUGCGGCCGGGAGGGGUCCCACUAUGUCCAUGCCCCAUUGUGCGAAAGGCCAUGGGCCUGAGAUUGGCUUCAAUGUUUCUGAUGGCAUAUGUGGGAUGGGAGCAUGCCUUUGACAUUUAUCACAUUUUUUGACAUAGGUCGUUGCAUCUUUCUUCAUUGUAGGCCAGUAAUAUCCUUGCGAAUGGGCCCUAUGCACUAGAGAUCGUCCUCCAGAAUGAUUUCCACAUACUCCCUCGUGCAACUUAGCUAAAACGUACAGGGCCUCUGAGUGGUUUAGACACCUAAGGUAGGGACCUGUGAAGGAUCGCUUGUACAGGUGCCCCCCAAUCAGGGUAAAACGGGCGGCUUGUACCCGGAUCUUGUGUGCCUUUUUGGCGUCCUCGGUCAGAGUGCCUGUCCGGAGGUAUUUUACAAUGUCGCUCGUCCAUUCUUGGCCGUCCGGUUGGCUUGCCUCAAUGGCGUUGCAAGUGGUGGUUUUCGCCACAGAAGAGUUGGCUUGCACAUGUAUAGGCAAAAAUAUGGUUUCUUUGAUUGGAAGGGAGGCAGCUAUGCUUGCCAAGGCGUCGGCGCGUCCAUUUUCGGUUUGUCUGAUUUUUUCGAUCGUCCAUUCGGAGAAUUGUUGUAAAGUGUUUCGUACCUUAGCCAGGUAUUGCGCCAUGCGCUCAUCCUUAGCUUCAUAUUCCUUCUAGACGUGUCUAACCACAAGUUAAGAAUCGCUAUAGACACGGAUUUUGGAGACGGAUAGAGCCAGGGCGAGGUCCAAUCCGGAUAGAAUGGCCUCAUAUUCUGCUUCAUUGUUAGAUGCAGGGAAUCCCAGCCGGAUGGCUUGCUCCAGGUGUUCCCCUGUUGGGGAUUGUAGCAGAAGCCCGACUCCGGACCCUGAUGAUCGUGAGACUCCAUCAACUUGCAAAGUCCACCAUUCGUUUUUACUUUGUUCCUGGCGUUGGCUAGGCCUUCGGGAGUAUUCCAGCACAAAGUUAGCCAUUACUUGGCCUUUCAUGGACAAUCUGGGUUGGAACUCGAUUCCAAAUUCGCUUAAUUCGAUAGCCCAUUGAAGCAUUCUCCAGGUUAAGUCUGGUUUGUGCAGAAUGUUGCGAAGGGGUUGGUCGGUCAGCACGACCACCGGAUGGGCUUGGAAAUAGGGGCGGAGCUUUUGGGCAGCGCUUCGAAGGGUUAAGGCUGUUAGCUCCAUUUUUUAAUACCUGGUUUCUAUGUCCGCCAAUGCUCUGCUGACGUAGUAGAUAGGCUUCUGCUCCUUAGGUGAGGGGCAACGAAAUAGAACAACGUUGAUUGCCCACUCCGAUACGGCCAGAUACAUGUAUAAUUUUUCUUUUGGGAUGGGGUUGUUCAGGAUGGGCAGCUGCAUAAGACAAUGUUUAAUCUUUUCAAAAGCGGUUUGACAGUUGUCCGUCCAUCCGUUUGUUCCAACUUUUCGUAUUGCCAAGAAGAAGGGUUGCAAUUCAUCAAUGAAGCGGGCUAUAAAACGCCCUAGUGCGACGAGCUUGCCUGUGAGUCGUUGUAACUCCUUCUUGGUCCUAGGUGGUGGUGUUUCUAUGACUGCCUUGACUUGAUCCGGACUGACCUCUAUGCCUCUUUGGCUGACCAUAAACCCCAAGAAUUUGCCAGCGCUUAUGCCAAAGGCGCAUUUAGAAUGAUUCAGCUUCAUGCCAUAUUUCCUCAAGAGGUGAAAAACUUCUUGUAAGUGAAGGACAUGCUCGUCUCGGGUUUUGCUUUUAACCACUAUAUCGUCAAUAUAUACCUCUACCGUGUGGCCUAUCAAAGGUUUGAAGAUCUUUGUCAUCAGUCUUUGAUAAGUGGCGCCAGCGUUUUUGAGCACGAAUGGCAUGACUCUGUAGCAAUAAAGGUCAUGUGGCGUUAUGAAUGCUGUUUUUUCCUCGUCAACCGAGGACAUGGGGAUCUGAUGAUAUCCGGAGAAGGCAUUCAAGAAAGAGAGCAUCCCUUGCCCAGCAGUAGAAUCCACGAUUUGAUCUAUUCGUGGCAAAGGGAAACUGUCUUUUAGACAUGCUUUAUUGAGAUUGGUGUAAUCGACGCAUACCAGCCAUUUUCCUUCUUUUUUGGGUACCACCACUACGUUUGCCAACCAGUCCGGAUAAUCUACUUCUUUGAUGAAUCCGGCUUCUAGCAAUUUGUCAAUCUUAAUCCGGAUGAUUUUUUGUCUGUCCGAGUGGAAACGUCUAACCUUCUACCGGAUGGGUCUGGUUGUUGGCAAGACGUUAAGUUUAUGGGAGGUAAUUGAGGGAUCAAUUCCCCUCAUAUCAUAAUGUGUCCAUGCGAAGAUGUCAUAGUUUUGUCUGAGGGCGUUCUACAUGUUCUGGGUCUCUUCUGGCGUCAUGAGGGAACUGAUGUUCGUGAGGUGAGUACUUUCCUCUGAAAUUUGGAUUGCUUGUAAGGGAUCUGCUGUCGGGGGAUCUUUGUCCACCGGAUCCAAUAAUUGCUAUUGGUCACGUGGAUUGCUGGGCUCAGGGAGGGAUGCAUCCUCCUGGCUGGUCCCUGCUUCUCGUGCUAUCUGGUAGUAUUGGCGAGCAGCUAACUGGCUGCCAUAUAAGUCAAUUUGCCCAUCGUUGGUGAGGAAACUCACCAUUUGAUGAUAUGUAGAGGGGAUGGCUUUCAUGUAGUGUAGCCAUGUGCGCCCCAAGAUGAUAUUGAAGGGUGAUAACUCUUGUACCACCGAGAAUUGUACGUUGAAAGUAACUGGGCCAGUUUGGACCGAUAGUACAAUGUCUCCCAAAGACGUAGUUGAUGACCCGUUGAAUCCGGAUAGGAUUCGUUCAGGGUUUUCGAGGACUGUGAGACUGUGUCCCAUGUAGUUAACGACCGAUGCUUAUACAAGACCGACCGAGCUGCCUGGGUCAACCAAGAUGCGUCUCACAUCGAAGUCUCCUAUCUCUAGGGACAAGAUGAGGGCCUCGCGAUGUGGCUGCAGUGUCCGGGUGGGGUCUACUGGUGGGAAAAUGAUUGUCCCAUCUAUGGGGCGAGGGCCCCCUCCAGUUAAUCCAGGCCGGAUGGAGUUGAUACGUUCGCGUACUGACGCGGCCCGCAACAAUUUCUGUCUCUUUCGUUUGGAGUCAUAUUCUUCGUCAGAUGGGCCUCCGUUAAUGUAGUUUAUAACGGCCUUGGUGGCGGCUGGGGCUCUGGGGGCUCCAGAGUUGUGAUUUUGGGAAGCGUCUCUUCCUCCAGCAUCUGAGCGGAGGUAUUGCUUUAAAUGUCCCGCCUUAAUGAGCUUUUCGACCAAAUAAUGGAGGCACCUGCAUGUCUCUGUUGUGUGAUCGUGUUCCUUGUGGAAGGCACACCUCUUGCUAUGAUAUCUUUUGGAUGGGUCCGUUCCUUGGGGUCUGGGCCACCUGAAAUCAGAUAAGCCUUGGAUCAUAGGGAGAAGUUUUUCAUAUGAUAUGGAAAAAGGCGUGAGAGGCGGCCUAUCCGGGCGACUCGGCCCUUCCUGCCUUCGAUCGGACGACCUUGGCCAGUCCGGAGGUUUAGCAUUUCUUUCCGUGCCACCUCUAGAUGCCUGUCCGGCAACCAAGACUUGCUGGGUGGCUGCCCGUACGUCAUCUUCGAGCAUCGAAUAUUUGUUGGCACGUCUGAACAAGUCGUCCAUCUAUGAGGUUUUUUGGCUAGCGAUUCGAAAAAUGGGGUGCCUGGACAGAUGCUUCGCUUGAAGAUCUGCAGGACAGCAUCCAUGUUGCAAGCCUCUACCUGAAGUACGGCUUGACCAAAUCGCUUCACGAACUCCCUUAAGGAUUCGUUAUCCUGCAUUUUUAUGUUUUGCAGAGUGCUAAUGUUCUGUUUGUGUCGGGCGGAGCACAAGUAUUGUCCCACGAAAGCUUCGGACAGGUCCCUGAAAUUGCCAACAGAGUCGGGAGGUAGACGAUGAAACCAUGAAAGGGCCUGUCCUUGUAAGCUGGCGGGGAAUACUUUGCAUAGCAGCGCAUCGUUGCCAAUAUCGAGUGUCAUGAGCUGUCGAUAAUGCAUGAUAUGAUCGAAGGGGUCGUUGGACCCAUCGUAUGUGGAGAAUUUUGGUACGAGGAAUCCCCUUGGGGGCUCGUAAUGAAUGAUAUGAGAGCAGAAGGGCGUGGAGAGCAUGUCGUCCAGCCUUUUGCUGAUAGAGCCCAUGGGUGACUCGUUUGGGAGGUUUCUCCCAGCUUGUUGUACCGCUAGGUGCGAGUGAACGUUCCGCACCAUGGUGGUGACCAUAGGGUCAUGGUGCGGGAGCACGUUCUGCACCAUGGGGGUGACCACAGGGUCAGGGCGUGCUGCCUAGGUUGUGGCUGCUGGUGGCCUUGGUCUCACAGGCUCUUGUGGGCCUAGUCUUGCGCGCAUUGAAUUUGACAACUGAGACUUUCUAUUACGUUGUCUUUUUGCUGAAAAAUGAGUAGAAUCCGAGCUUUCUUCACGGGGAGCUCGAGGCAUAGCCGUAUGUGGCUCAUGGGGCCUCACGUUGCAUGCUUCUGGGAUAGCUCCUGCUGUUCCAGGAUAUAUUGAUUCUAGUUCUGGCCUUGAGUUUGCUACUUGGCCUCUCGAAUGCUGACGACGAGGAGGCCCUGAUGUUGAAGCCUGGAUGCGUAAUAUCGCGUUUUCUUCUCUUAAUCUUUCUGUCUCCUGGAGGAGAGCUUUCAGUUGUCGUUCGCUUGCCAACUGUCUUCUUUCGAUGGCUUGAUGCCAUUCAGAAUUAUCUUCCUCUCCCUUACCAGAUGAACGACUUUGGGAAGGUGUGGCCAUAUUUGGUAGUGACUGAAUCAGUGAAAAAUUUCCCACAGACGGCGCCAAUGUUGAGGCCUCGCGUCCCUGGUGGUCCACGUAGUUGCCAAAUGGAUGGGCGCACAAUCUCAACCAAUAUAGAUUCUUGAUUCAGUCGUUCUACCUGCAAAAGGCGUCCGGACGGGGUGUCCGGACGCACCCUCCGAUGGUUUUGUCAGCCAUGGUUAGAGAUAGAGAUAAAUCAGUUGGCCUUUUACUAGGUAUAACCAGCUUACCUUCCCCUUUGUGUGAAGGUUUGUAUAUAUAGUUUCAGAAGCUUUGUUCCCCUCUUUAAUGGUGGGGAGAUAUUUUGUGUUGUCAUGAUGACACUAGGUGGUGGCAGGGCCAUCAUCACCCUACAGGCGGCUGACAGAGAUCGUGGUAGGUGAUCGUGGGAAGUGACUUGUUGUCAUUUCAUCUUGUCAUUUCACUCUGCAGGUGGCAGAACGUGGGCCAUGGCAGGCUGUUGUGAUAACUUGCAAGACUUGCUUACUUCAGUCAAUGAUCUGGGCAAACGUAUCCGGAUGGCCUAUGUUAGUCGUCCGGAUGCAUUUGUGGAAGUCGUCCGGAUGUUAUGUUUAUGAGUGUCGUGUGCCUCUCCUUGAGGUAGUCCGGAUAGGAGAAGCGCGCCACGUGCAUUCUUAGGGAAAUUCGGAUGAGGAUGAUCCGGAUGAUAAUGCGUGCCACGUGUCGCCAUGAGGUGUGUGGCAUGUGUUUUCAGGAGGAGGGGUCCCUACAGUUGCCACAAGCUCACUCUUAGCCUCUCCACUAAGCACCUCUGGUAGAUCAAGAUGAGGGCCAGUAGUGGAGGAUGAGGAGAUUGAAAAGCUUCUGGAGCCCUUCUCAAAAGAGCAACCGUUGGCUUUGUUUCAGGAGGCAAUGGAAAAGUACCCGGACUUCGUUAAUAGCAUCUAGAGACUCGCCAACGUCGACCCGGCUCACCGAAAAAUCUUCGUCCACGGCAUGGGAUGGGAUACACCUUUAUUCUGUUCAAGCACCGAAACGACGCUCACAAGGCACUGAAGCAGCCAUAAAAGAAGAUUGGAAAUCGAAUGACCUCAUGCUAGCUAGCCUCUACCGGCCUCGUUCGAACGCCGCCACCGGUGGUAUCUCCGGUGCCUGAGUAUACUCAAAGAAAGUUUUUUUUUUUUUUUGUGAGCAAUGUUUCUGCAGAGAUCGAUUCUCAGAAGCUACUAGAGUUCUUUGCAAAGUUUGUGGAAUUUUUUUAGGGUCACACAUUGCAUUGCUAGAAGGCAAUUGAUGGGCCAAGCCAAAAAAGCCUUUCCACCAUCACCACCAACAAAACCUACACCACUUUUCAUCCUUUUUUAUUCUUUAUAUUUUGAUAUCAAAGUUUCAAUUUUCAAAACUCAAAUUCUCAACUAAUUCUCCAAAAUUUCUAUUUUCAAAUAAUUUUCCAAAAUUCCAAUUUUCAAAUUUAAUUAUCGAAACUCCGUUUUCAAAUAAUUUUCAAAUUUAAUUUUUAAAAAUUUCAUUCUCAAAUAAUUCUUCAAAAUUCCAAUUUUCAAAACUUCAAUUUUCAAAUAAUUUUCCAAAAUUCUCAUUUUCAAAUUUAAUUUUCAAAAGUUCCAUUUUCAAAUACUUUUCCAAAUUUCCAAUUUUCAAAUUUAAUUUUCAAAACUCUCAUUUUCAAAUAAUUUUUCAAAAUUCCAAAUUUCAAAAUUCCCAUUUUCAAAAUUUUUUUUUAUUUAAAUUCCAAUUUUUAAAUUUAAUUUUUAAGAUUUCAAUUUUCAAAUAAUUUUCAAAACUCUAGUUUUCGUUCAAAUAAUAUUAAUUCCACUUCAAUUUUCAAAUAUUUUUAAUUUUACAACUUUUCAUCCUUUAUUAGGGUUUAGGUAAAAAAAAUCUUGUUUUGAAUAAACUUGCUACAUUUCACUUCAGGUAAGUACUUUUACAAAUUUUCUUUGAUUUUCAAAUAAUAUUUUCUUUCUCUUUAUUUUAAAUAAGCAUGAAUAUGAUUUUAAAUAAGCACGAACGUAGGUUUGGUUUUUCGAAGAUCAUAUUUUCCAAAUAAGAAGUCACAUUUACAGUUUUCUUUCUUAUUUUGUUUUCCCUUAAAAAAAAUAAAACAAAAAUAAGUGGUGACUCCAAGUCUUUUCUAAAAAUCAUAAAUUUUUACAAAUAAAUAAAAAAUGAGUUUUGCUAUCGAGUGGGAAUGCAUCGUGCAAAAUACAAGGUCCACAUAAUACUAAGUUACUUUACUAAGAUAUUGAAUGCACUUUAAAUAUUCCAUUAAGUCAUCUUUAUCAAUGUUGUUGAUUAUGAACUUAUAUUUUUUUUAAUUAUUAUUAUGAAAUGCUAAAUUAAUUAUUACAUUUUAAAAUCUAUAAAAUUAAGUAUGAACGUGUAUAUUUUAAAAUCUAUAGAAUUAAUUAUUAUAUAUUUUUCUUAUUUUAUGUAUUUAAGAUAAAAAUAUUCAAAAUUAAUAAUUUAAAUUGUCGUGCACCACCUUCUCUAAAACCCUAGGGGUAUGUGCCCUUUUAUAGGCUUUCAAGCUUGGUCUUCAUCGACCCUCUCACAUGGUGGACAUCUAAGCUCUAGGCAAAAAGUAAGCAAAUGGAGGUAGUAAAGUUGACCCUUGUCCAAAAUCAAAACAAGGCCAAAAUGAGAAUGAUGAGAGCCAAAAAAAUAAUAAAUAAAUAAAUAAACCCAAACCAAUAUAAAUAAGCCCAAAACAAACAAAGCCUAAACCCGAAAAAUAAAAUAAACUAGGCCCAAAAUCCAAUAUACAAAGCCCAAACUCAAAACAAAUAUGAUAGCCCAAGGCUACAAAUACAUCUCAGAGCAAUAACCGAAGUUCAAAAUAAUAUCCAAGAACCCCAAUACCCAUAAACAUGAAUCAAUAAAUAAAUCCAAAUCAAAGCCUAUUGUGGACUAGCAUUUUUCAUUCAAUGCAUCCUUAGUAAAAAAUGACGAGACUUACUAUUUGACUUACUAUUUAGCGAAAAACUGAUUUUUAUUAUAAAAAAAAUAUAAUUGUCACUUAUUUUUGUUUAUUUAUUGAAGGGAAAACAAAAUAAAAAAUAAAACCCUAAAAAUAACUUUUUAUUUUGAAAAGUCAAGUUACCUAUUGGGAAGUUAACAUAAGGUAACACCUCUUUAAACACUAAGACAGAUCUCUACUAAUCAAAUUGAAAUUACUAUGACAAUUAGUCAAUUAAUUAAUCAUGAAUACCAAGAAGCUAAGCGUAUAUCAAAAGCAAAGUAUAGCAAAAGGCUUCUCGAACAAGGCAUGCAUAUCAAAGAAUCAAAUAAAUGAGAAGGAAAUGAAACUAUCUCAAACAAUGAACCAAGUGUUUUCAAGUAACAAUUGGGUUAGCUCACAAAUAAUAAUAAGGAACCAUAAGCUAGGCCUCAUAAUGAAUGUAACAUAUGCAUAUCUCAACUCAUGAAGUAAAAAAAUGAUAUGGUGUGAACAAGAGGAAACAGGAUACAAUAAAACAUGUGGGUUGCCCCCUCGUUCGACAUCAUUCCAUGAAAACAAUGUCGUUCUAUGAACGGAGCAGAGGAUCGCUUGCACAUGGCACUAGUGACGAAGGAGUCGGUGGAAAACCGGCGCGGACCAAAGUCGGGAGGCAUAUUUUUCAUUUCUUUUUUUCUUUUUAAUAAUGAGGAGAAUCUGGUAAUUAUGAAUAAUUGGACAGGUGGAGCCUCGGAAUGAAGCAUGUCAGAGACCUCUAUUUCCACGAGGAUACACAGGGAUAUAGUUUUGAAGAAAAGAGCCAUCACCCUUAUCUUGGUCAUCGCAAAUUGUAUAUAGAUGUGGCCAAACAGAUUCAUUCUAGCGUAAACCUUACAAUGGCAAUAGCCAUCACCCUCAUAGGCCAAGCCUUGAUCUCUCUCGUUUGGUUUUGGAAGCCAAAAGUCCAAUCUCUUUUAUCCUUUGGGCCUCUUAUAUAUGGAGAGAGAGAGAUUGAGGCUGUGUCGAAGCUUGUAGUACAAGUUGCAAAUGACAUAUUGAUCCUGCAGUUUUUAGUUAGUAUAGUCACCACCCAUGGCUUGCGUUUUUAUUUUUAUUUAUGAGAGAGCAGAAGCUUUACUGUCUCUCUAUGGUGGCGGUUAGCUGCAAAGUGAAGUGCUGUUUUCUUGGUAUCUUUGAUUGCAAGGUAAGUUACAGACUUAUCUGAUGAUUUGUCUAGUAAUUGCUCCGCAAUUUUAGUAUAACCCAAGUAUGCAGCACAGUGAAGGGGAGACCACCCAUUUUCAUCAACUUCUUUUGUUAGAUCUGGCUUCCAUUCCAAUAACUUCGCUAUCAUGUCUGAUAAAGAAAUGAACCAACAAAAAAACAGCAGAGAAAAAAAUUUAAGAAAUUCCCUCUAGUAAAGCAUGACCCUUAGAGGUGAUCAUGAUCUCUAACAAUAUAUUGCAUGAGUAACUAACCAUGUAGGAAUCAAGAUUCAAGGAAAGGAUCUGCAUGUGUAUUAUACCUUGGUCCUCACGAAUUACAGCAGCAUGCAAAGCCGUUCUACCCAUUAUGCCACUGUGAGAUGGUGAAGCGCGAGUUUUGUCUAUAAUUAUACACACCAAGUCUCCAUAUCCUCUCUCGGCAGCCAUGUAAAGAGGAGUGUAGCCUGUAAUAUUUGCACCGUAGAUAAACUCAGGGUCUUCCUCAAUCAAUGACACCACAAUCUCUGAAUGAUGAUACCGCACCGCCUCAUGCAAGGCUGUGUCUUUCUCCUUAUUGGUCAUCCUCAACAUCGCCUUGUCUGUUCCAACCCCACUUUCGAUCUCUUGGUGAAGUGCUUUUGUGGCGUUAAGGAGAGCUUUCACAACCACCCCAUGGCCUUCUCUCGCAGCAAGGUGAAGUGGAGUGUCGCCUUUCAGAUUGGGCUGCUGCAGUAGAGGUGAACAUGAAUGAAAGUGAAGGAUCCACUCUACGCAUGC